UUGGCACAUUUGUUGCAAGGGUAUUCAAAUUUCGGCAUGUCGAAAAGAACAAUUCUUUCUUAUUUUUGGCAAAUUAUGUCUUAUCAGCAUCGUUGCGGCUGUUAAGCUAUUUAUUUAUACGCAGGCCAGAUAAGCCAGCAGUCGUCUAAUUCCAGUAGCAUCUGCAUCAUCUCUAGAUUCAAGAAAUACGCAAUUGCAAACUCAAUAUGAAUUACAAUAUAUUAGUCUUAAUUGCCAUCAUUUUGGCAGUCAAUGUGGAUGUGGCCAAGGCUAAUUUGUGGGACAGCAUAAAAGAUACAUUUGAAGACAUAAUUGACGCAAUUAAAGACUUAUUCUCAUAAGAUAAGUUAGUGAACGUGUCAGUCUUAAACGCAUUGAAUUGUAAACCAAAUGAUAUUUAAAUAAAAAAAAUUGAAUUUCUCUUUA